rnacentral:rRNA from 1 species
UAGGGAAUCUUCCACAAUGGACGCAAGUCUGAUGGAGCAACGCCGCGUGAGUGAAGAAGGCUUUCGGGUCGUAAAACUCUGUUAUUGAAGAAGAACGUGUGUGACAGUAACUGGUCAUGCAGUGACGGUAUUCAAUCAGAAAGUCACGGCUAACUACGUGCCAGCAGCCGCGGUAAUACGUAGGUGGCAAGCGUUGUCCGGAUUUAUUGGGCGUAAAGCGAGUGCAGGCGGUCUUUUAAGUCUGAUGUGAAAGCCUUCGGCUUAACCGAAGAAGGGCAUCGGAAACUGGGAGACUUGAGUGCAGAAGAGGAGAGUGGAACUCCAUGUGUAGCGGUGAAAUGCGUAGAUAUAUGGAAGAACACCAGUGGCGAAGGCGGCUCUCUGGUCUGUAACUGACGCUGAGGCUCGAAAGCGUGGGGUAGCAAACAGGAUUAGAUACCCUG